CAAAUUAAAGCUUUAAGAAGCAUUUUAGUUACAUUAAAAAGAUAUUUUUUACAAAAUUAAUUUGA
rnacentral:tRNA from 1 species